rnacentral:rRNA from 1 species
UACGGAGGGGGGCUAGCGUUGUUCGGAAUUACUGGGCGUAAAGCGCACGUAGGCGGCUUUGCAAGUUAGAGGUGAAAGCCCGGAGCUCAACUCCGGAAUUGCCUUUAAAACUGCAUCGCUAGAAUUGUGGAGAGGUAAGUGGAAUUCCGAGUGUAGAGGUGAAAUUCGUAGAUAUUAGGAAGAACACCGGUGGCGAAGGCGGCCCACUGGAUCGGUACUGACGCUGAGGUGCGAAAGCGUGGGGAGCAAACAGG